ensembl:lncRNA
CCUUUAUUCUCCAAACAAAGGAUGGUAUUUUUUUAAGGGGGAGAAAGGCAGGGGGCGAGGAGAGAAUUAAAAAAACAAAAAAAAAAAAAACAAAAAACCCCAGCAGCCCUUCUUUGUGCUGGGUGCAAUUCACCGUAUGGAGCCACCUCAGUCUCCCGGCAAAGCAUCCCCGCCUGAAACCCACGUUUGUGCACAAUGGCCAAGUGGUGCAUGGUGGUUGUUGUGUUUUCUCCCAAGCCCACUUUACAAAGACACUGCAAGAAGACAGACACAGUAAUGCUUGCAAGGCAACAGGCAGAGAGACAGACUCGGUACAACUGUGGAUUAGGGGUUUGUGCAGUAGGACAGCACGGAAGGCGGGCAGUUGAUGGUUUUUUAGUGGUUUUUUUUUUUAUUUUUUUUUAUUUUUUUUAAUUCUCUGCAAUGAUGCACCUAAAGCAACAGUGGAUGGUGGUGCAGAAAGAAGCUGGGGUAGGGGGACGCAUGGCUGGGGGUGGCUGUGUGCGGGGUGGGGGGGGGGGGGGGGGGGCGGCAGACUUAAUGCACAUUUAAUGUUUUGGACGUAGCGUUCCAGCGAAAUGCCUUUGUGUGUGGAUUUUUUCCCCAGUACCUGCUAAAAAUAGCAUCAGGGUUUUGAUCGCGUUCCAGAAAUAGACAGAGGGUUGCACUUGUAUAAAAAGCGAGCGCGGGUGGAAGAAAACCUGGACAUCACCGCAGUAUUUUUUUCCAACUCCUGUCUGGAAAUUAAUUGUUGGAUUCCCCCCACUCCCCCACCUCCCGAUCCCCCCCCCCCCCCCCCCCCCCCGCCCCCUCCCCUACCCGAGGAGUUCCCGCUCGGUAAGUAGCGAUCUUUCCUGUGCAUGCUGCAGCCAGCGGCCGUGUGGCCGCGCCGUCGGGGCCGAGGAAUCUCUGGCACCGCAGGAGCAGCAGCCCACACCAGAUAUGUUCUGUUUUGCCAUGAGAGAGGAAGUCAUGUACUGGAUGGGGAGACAGUUUCAUCAGGGAGAGCUGGCGUAAAGGAACGUGGAGCAGCCUCUGCUUCGGACAGGAGGACGUCCGUCCCAGGAGAAAGAGCAUCAGUUCUCAGUUGGGCCACCUUCCAUGCGAUGGAGCAACGUAGCUAUGCUGUAGGUUGCCUUAUGCUUGCAACACUGCAACCCCGAGGAAGUCUGCAUCUGCAGAGAUCUGCCUUCAUGCCUGGACUGAUAAGCGACGCUGGGGAAGCGUCUUGGCCAGAUGCUGCUGCAGUAUCCCGCCUCCUCAUCGCAUCGCCCUCUGGAAGACAGAAGUGACGAUCAGCAGCGUGGUGUUGUCCUGCAGGCAGCUGAGGAACCACUUUGACAGCAAGCAGGAGAACAACUAUGCAGUGUAAUCACAGCCUGUCUGUGCUCUUUCUAACAAAGUACAGGAGCACCCUAUUCCCAGCGAGGGGAUGCUGUAACCUCCCCCUGCUGACCUGUAUUCUUCUCCGUUACUGUAACCAAGCUGUUUCUUUCCCACGGCCACGCGUUCCUGCAGAUAUACCAAGGGUUCCCAUGCAGAUAGGUUUACAAAUUCAGGAAGGGCUUGGACAGAGCAAAAGGAGAAUGAAGUAAUUCCCAAAUAUUUGCACUGUGGCUGAUGAAAUUAGCAGGAGAGCUGAGUGGGUGUAUAGGGGUCUGCUGGGGGACGGAUGGAAGGAAACCUGGGGACAAACUGUCUCCUGUUCAACGUGCUCUGAGUGCUGUGUGAUAAAGGUGAAUCACCCAGCUUAGCUGCAGGUGAGCCAGCAGGACAGUGGCUGGGGCCGGGUCCCACUGCAGCCUGUGUGGGGGCUGUGUGCUGGGUCCGGUGGGCUUUGAAUCCCACCACAAAGACAGUGGCUGUCGACAAGGUCACGAACGCAGAGCUUCGCCUUCUGUUGAUUAUGUGGUUGUCAGUGGAAGAAUUACUGUGUAUCUAUGGGAAAUGUUAAAAAACAACAACGCCUUUUUUUCUUGAAUAAAUCUGUGAAACGAACCAA